rnacentral:rRNA from 1 species
AACCUGCCCAAGAGAUCGGGAUAACACCUGGAAACAGAUGCUAAUACCGGAUAACAACAGAUGGUGCCUAUCAACUGUUUAAAAGAUGGUUCUGCUAUCACUCUUGGAUGGACCUGCGGUGCAUUAGCUAGUUGGUAGGGUAACGGCCUACCAAGGCGAUGAUGCAUAGCCGAGUUGAGAGACUGAUCGGCCACAUUGGGACUGAGACACGGCCCAAACUCCUACGGGAGGCAGCAGCA